CGUGGCGGUAGUGCAGCGGCAGGCCCACCGCUUCGAGGACGGUGCGGUGGCGGUCCGCCGUCGCGUCGUCCAACCGGCCCGCCAGGC
rnacentral:tRNA from 1 species